rnacentral:rRNA from 1 species
GGUCUGACUGUUGUUCAGAUUGAACGCUGGCGGAUGCUUUACACACAUGCAAGUCGAACGGCAGCACGGACUUCGGUCUGGUGGCGAGUGGCGAACGGGUGAGUAAUGUAUCGGAACGUGCCUAGUAGCGGGGGAUAACUACGCGAAAGCGUAGCUAAUACCGCAUACGCCCUUCGGGGAAAGCGGGGACCUUCGGGCCUCGCACUAUUAGAGCGGCCGAUAUCGGAUUAGCUAGUUGGUGGGUAACGGCUCACUACAUGACGAUCCGUAGCUGGUUUGAGAGGUCGACCAGCCACACUGGGACUGAGACACGGGCCCAGACUCCUACGGGAGGCAGCAGUGGGGAAUUUUGGACAAUGGGGAAACCCUGAUCCAGCCAUCCCGCGUGUAAGCGAUGAAGGCCUUCGGGUUGUAAAGCACUUUCUUGGCAGGAAGAAACGGCACGGAUAAAUACCUCGUGCAACUGACGGUACCUGCAGAAUAAGCACCAUAACCGCCACAGCAGCCGCGUAAUACGUAGGGUGCAAGCGCUAAUCGGAAUUACUGGGCGUAAAGCGUGCGCAGGCGGUUCGGAAAGAAAGAUGUGAAAUCCCAGAGCUUAACUUUGGAACUGCAUUUUUAACUACCGAGCUAGAGUGUGUGUCAGAGGGAGGUGGAAUUCCGCGUGUAGCAGUGAAAUGCGUAGAUAUGCGGAGGGAACAUCGAUGGCGGAAGGCAGCCUCCUGGGAUAACAUCGACGCUCAUGCACGAAAGCGUGGGGAGCAAACAGGAUUAGAUAAUUCUAAAGAACCACGCCCUAAACGAUGUCAACUAGCCGUUGGGGCCUCGGGCCUUGGUGGCGCGCAGCUUAACGGUGAAGUUGACCAGGCCUGGGGAGUACGGUCGCAACAUUAAAACUCAAAGGAAUUGACGGGGACCCGCACAAGCGGUGGAUGAUGUGGAUUAAUCUGAUGCAACGCGAAAAACCUUACCUACUCCUUUACAUGUUCAAAUCCGAAGAGAUUUGGGAGUGCUCGCAAGAGAACCGGAACACAGGUGCUGCAUGGCUGUCGUCAGCUCGUGUCGUGAGAUGUUGGGUUAAGUCCUACAACGAGCGCAACCUCGUCAUUAGUUGCUACGAAAGGGCACUUCCAUCGAGACGUUGCCGGUGACAAACCGGAGGAAGGUGGGGAUGACGUCAAGUCCUCAUGGCCCUUGCAGGGUAGGGUUUGCACACGCCGCGACAAUGGCUGGACAGUGGUCGCCAACCCGCGAGGGGGAGCCAAUCCCAGAAACCCGAUCGUAGUCCGGAUCGCAGUCUGCAACUCGACUGCGGAAGUCGGAAUCGCUAGUAAUCGCGGAUCAGCAUGUCGCGGUGAAUACGUUCCCGGGUCUGUACACACCGCCUGUCACACCAUGGGAGUGUGUUUUACCAGAAGUAGUUAGCCUAACCGUAAGGAGGGCGAUUACCACGGUAGGAUUCAUGAUCAGUGCGUCGCAACAAGGUAG